rnacentral:tRNA from 1 species
AGGGCUAUAGCUCAGUUGGUAGAGCAGGUAAAAAGGAGCUUUGUCAAAAGCUCAUGCAGCAAUUUUCUAAGUGGACUUCUAAUCCCCUUGUCGCCGGUUCGAGUCCGGCUAGCCCUG